UACGGAGGGGGCUAGCGUUGUUCGGAAUUACUGGGCGUAAAGCGCACGUAGGCGGCUUUGUAAGUUAGAGGUGAAAGCCCGGGGCUCAACUCCGGAAUUGCCUUUAAGACUGCAUCGCUCGAAUUGUGGAGAGGUAAGUGGAAUUCCGAGUGUAGAGGUGAAAUUCGUAGAUAUUCGGCGGAACACCAGUGGCGAAGGCGACUCACUGGCCCGAUACUGACGCUGAGGCGCGAAAGCGUGGGGAGCAAACAGG
rnacentral:rRNA from 1 species